rnacentral:rRNA from 1 species
UACAGGGGGGGCAAGCGUUGUUCGGAAUUACUGGGCGUAAAGGGCUCGUAGGUGGCCAACUAAGUCACACGUGAAAUCCCCAGGCUUAACCUGGGAACUGCGUGUGAUACUGGAUGGCUUGAAUCCGGGAGAGGGAUGCAGAAUUCCAGGUGUAGCGGUGAAAUGCGUAGAUAUCUGGAGGAAUACCGGUGGCGAAGGCGGCAUCCUGGACCGGCAUUGACGCUGAUGAGCGAAAGCUAGGGGAGCAAACGGG